ACAAGCGGUGGAGCAUGUGGUUAAUUCGAUGCAACGCGAAGAACUUACCUGGGCUUGACAUCCCUGGAAUCCCCUGGAACAGGGAGCGCCUCGGGAGCCAGGAGACAGGUGCUGCAUGGCUGUCGUCAGCUCGUGUCGUGAGAUGUUGGGUUAAGUCCCGCAACGAGCGCAACCCUUGUCUUUAAUUGCCAUCAUUCAGUUGGGCACUUUAAAGAGACUGCCGGUGUUAAACCGGAGGAAGUGGGAUGACGUCAAGUCCUCAUGGCCUUUAUGCCCAGGGCUACACACGUGCUACAAUGGGUGGUACAAAGAGAUGCAAUCUCGCAAGAGCAAGCAAACCUCAAAAAGCCAUCCUCAGUUCGGAUUGGAGUCUGCAACUCGACUCCAUGAAGUUGGAAUCGCUAGUAAUCGCGGACCAGCAUGCCGCGGUGAAUACGUUCUCGGGGUUU
rnacentral:rRNA from 1 species